GACGAACGCUGGCGGCGUGCCUAAUACAUGCAAGUAGAACGCUGAAGGAGGAGCUUGCUUCUCUGGAUGAGUUGCGAACGGGUGAGUAACGCGUAGGUAACCUGCCUGGUAGCGGGGGAUAACUAUUGGAAACGAUAGCUAAUACCGCAUAAGAGUAGAUGUUGCAUGACAUUUUCUUAAAAGGUGCAAUUGCGUCACUACCAGAUGGACCUGCGUUGUAUUAGCUAGUUGGUGGGGUAACGGCGCACCAAGGGGAGGAUAGAUAGCCGAGCUGAGAGGGGGAUCGGCCACACUGGGAGUGGAACGCGGCCCAGACUCCUGCGGGAGGCCGCAGAAGGGAAUCGUCGGCAAUGGACGGAAGUCUGACCGAGCGACGCCGCGUGAGUGGAGAAGGUUUUCGGAUCGUAAAGCUCUGUUGUAAGAGGAGAACGGGUGUCGCAGUGGAAAGUGCACACUGUGACGGUAUCUUACCAGAAAGAGACGGCUAACUACGUG
rnacentral:rRNA from 1 species